UCAGUCGGUUGGACGGCUGCGGGCGGCGGUGUUAAGUUGUUGAGUGGCAGCCCUUUUGCAAACUGUAUACUAAAAUUGUUUGUUUAUAUUGCAAGUUUCUGCCACUCAACAACUUAACCUGUCCGUCUGAGGAAAGUCCGGGCAUCGCAGGGCAGGAUAACGGCUAACGGCCGCCGAGGGUGACCUUAGGGAGAGUGCAACAGAGAUAUACCGCCGCUUUAAGUUGGCAAAAGUCAGCUUAUGUGGUAAGGGUGGAAAGGCGAGGUAAGAGCUCACCACGGGACUGGAGACAGCUCCCGUCUGUAAACCCUAUCCGAUGCAACGCAGAAUUAUGCUAUACAUUUGCCCGAUGUGCAUAGACGUGCGGCUUGAGCCUGUCGGCAACGGCAGGUCGAGAUAGAUGGUCGUCAAAGAACUUUGUUCUUUACAGAACCCGGCUUACAGACCGAGUGGGAAA
rnacentral:RNase_P_RNA from 1 species